UCUCUCCCUCUCUCCCUCUCUUCCCUCCCCAGCUCCCUCCCUCUUCCUGACGUCUGCUCUCCCUCCGACGGCGCCUCCCUCCACUGCCCUCCCCUGGUCCCCCAACGCGCGCGCACACACACUGGCUCCGCUCGCUGGAGCCGAGAUGGGAGGAGAGCAAAGAGAAAGGAAUUGAGGGCAGAGGCAAGGGGUGGGGAGGGGUGGGGAGAACGCGGCGUCGCAGGCUCGGAAGCAAAGACCGCCGGGCCCCGGUCCAUCCGCGCCCCUCCGGUGCCGAGACCUACUUUUGCCCCCAGUGGCGUAACUGAGCCGGACAUAGGGUGGCAGGCUGGGCAGAGGACGAACCUCCAUCAAUUGGACAUCUAUCCAUCCGGAGGGAAAGCCAACCAACUCCAUGGCUUUGCGUCCCCGAAGGCUUGCCACAGAAGGCAGCCAGCGAACGAUCUCUAAGCACUCCGGGGCUCGAGGCGGAGAGAUGGAGACCCGAAGUGGAAGGGCAUUUGGGUCAAGGAAGGAAAGCUGUCCUCCUGGGGUAACACUGGGCAUUCGUCUCUGCAGGCAUCUGAGGACAGAACAUAGCAAGUGGACAGGAACAGACCGAAUACCUUAGGUCAGGGUAUUCUGGAAUGAAACAGCCUUUCCCCUUUUACUCUGAAUGAGUGCAUGCAGAGAUAAAAGAAAAUGCUAGGAAGAUGUCCCCAGCAGCUAACGAGCUCGCUUUCCUGGCCUUAGCUUACCUUGCCCUCUCCCUUUAAAGAUAAAUCUCCACCAAUUAGCUUGAGAGAAGCUCCUUCCUCUCAUGGCUAGUCUCCUACAAGCUACUCAGCAUCCCAGAUCCUAAAGCCUGAUGCCCAUUUGCGUAGCAGUCCCCAACACCAGCCAGACGAGGGUCUCCUGAUAGAUUUUCCUAGAGCAGCACUGAGGCCUAGUCCUGGACAGAUGGGUUUUUCUGGCGUGUCACCCGAACAUCACUAGUUUCAAACAUACCCCAUGUGACUUGAGUGAGCAUUGUGGAGCCGAAUACCACACCGUUCCAGUGCGCUUGCGCAUCCCCAGGACAUGCGCUCUCGUCUCUCUGCGAUCAUACUUGAGUAUUACCGAUCCUGCUUCACCUCCUCCGUCCAGGCCAACCCCACUAAAGCUCCUUAGCUCUGCUCACUAAUACCAAAGCUCACAGUUCUGUCUCAGCGGGCUAUCUGAGUCUCCUGGCCUCUCAUCACAUACCUGUUAUCACAGCAGGCAUCCUGAAGGUCAGCCUUCCAGUAUCCAGGCACUGUGAAGAGAAACCCCAUGUCCCGACAGACUAGACAUAACGAUUUCCUUAGCACAGGGCAUCUUCUUAAACUUUGAGCUCCUUGAAGGCAAGGACUGUCUCUGUCUCCUUAGUUAGGACUUCCUGAGAGUAAAGAGGAAGCUGGAUCUCCCUUCUUAAUCACUGAAGUAGCAAAGUAGUUGAAAGUUGGAAACGUGGAUGGACUCUGAAACAGAGAAAGGCUAAGAUUCUCUCCCUAAUGAUUACUACAGAGAUAGGAAAGAAAGGCCCUAACACGUACUUCUCAACCUUCCUAAUGCUGCCACCCUUUAACACAGGUCCUAAUGUUGUGGUGAAUCCCCCAAUCAUAAAUUAUUUUUUUCACUGCUUCAUAA